ACUCCUACGGGAGGCAGCAGUGAGGAAUCUUGCGCAAUGGAGGAAACUCUGACGCAGCCACGCCGCGUGCUGGAAGACGGCCCUAUGGGUUGUAAACAGCUUUUGAUAGGGAAGAACCUGGACCUUUCGAGGACCACUGACGGUACCUAUCGAAUAAGCACCGGCUAACUCCGUGCCAGCAGCCGCGGUAAUACGGAGGGUGCAAGCGUUGUCCGGAAUCAUUGGGUGUAAAGGGUCCGUAGGCGGUUUUAUAAGUCAGUGGUGAAAUCCGGCAGCUCAACUGUCGAACUGCCAUUGAUACUGUAGAACUUGAAUUAUUGUGAAGUAACUAGAAUAUGUAGUGUAGCGGUGAAAUGCUUAGAGAUUACAUGGAAUACCAAUUGCGAAGGCAGGUUACUAACAAUAUAUUGACGCUGAUGGACGAAAGCGUGGGUAGCGAACAGGAUUAGAUACCCUGGUAGGAUAGCGUAGUCGUGGGACAAGGCACACA
rnacentral:rRNA from 1 species